ACGCAGCAGUCUGCCGCUUUGUGAGACAGCGAACAUCCACAGUGGUCACUCAUUCUGCGAGGCAGCGAAGAGACGCAGCGGUUUACUUGUUCCACAGGCAGCGAAGAGACAAAGCGGUUUGCUUGUUCGCCAGGCAGCGAACAGAUUAGGCAGUCUCCUUGUUUGUGAGACAGCGAACAUCCACAGCGGUCACUCAUUCUGCGAGGCAGCGAAGAGACGCAGCGGUUCGCUUGUUUGCUAGGCAUGGAAGAGAUGCAGGAGCUCACUAGUUUGCGAGGCAGCUAAGAGGCGCAGCGGUUUCCUUGUGUGUGAGGCAGCGAAGAGAUGCAGGGGCUCGCUAGUUUGCGAGGCAGCGAAGAGGUGCAGUGGUUAGUUGUUUUGCGAGGCAGCGAACAGAUGAAGGGGCUUGCUAGUUUGCGAGGUAGUGAAGGGACGCGGCGGUUAGUAAUUUUGCGAGGCAGAGAACAGAUGCAGUAGCUUGUCUGUUUGCGAGGCAGUGAGGAGGCACAGCGGUUAGCUUGCUUGCGAGGCCUAGAAGAGACACAGCAGCUUGUCUGUUUGCAAGGCAGGGAAUAGACGCAGCUGUUUCCUUGUUUGCGAGGCAGCCGGGAGGCGCAGCGGUUAGUUUCCCACGCAUCGAACAGAUGCAGGGCUCGCUAGUUUGCGAGGCAGUGAAGAGGCGCAGCGGUUUCCUUGUGUGCGAGGCAGCAAACAGACACAUGUGCUCGCUAGUUUGCGAGGCAGCCAGGAGGCGUAGCUGUUAGUUUCCUACGCAUCGAACAGAAGCAGCGGUUUGCUUGGGUACGAGGCAGCGAAAAGACACAGCUGUGAGAUAAUUUGCGAGGCAGCGAACAGACACAGCGGUUAGUUUCCUACACAGCGAAGAGACGCAGUGGUUUCCUUGUUUGGUAGGCAGUGAACAGACGCAGGGGAUUGCUGUUUUGCGAGGCAACGAAGAGACGCCGUGGUUUCCUUUUGUGCGAGGAAGCGAAGAGACUCAGGGGCUCGCUAGUUUGCGAAGCAACGAAGAAAAGCAGGGGUCACUAGUUUGCGAGGCCACCCACGUCACACCCACGUCACACUCACAUCACCUUCGAAUCACCCACAUCACACUCACGUCACACCCACGUCACCUUCAAAUUUCCCACGCCCCACCCAAGUCACGUUCGAACCACCCACGUCACACCCACAUCACCUUCAAAUUUUCCACGUCACACCCACGUCACGUUCAAAUCACCCACGUCACACCCACGUCACGUUCGAAUUUCCCACGUCACACCCACAUCACAAACAUGUCACGUUCUAAUCUCCCACGUCACACCCACGUCACGUUCGAAUUUCCCACGUCACACCCACGUGACAUUCGAAUCAACCACGUCACGCCCAUGUCACACCCAUGUCAUGCCCAUGUCACACCCAUGUCACAUUCGAAUUUCCCACAUCACAGCCACCUCACACCCACGUCAUGUUCAAAUUUCCCGCGUCACACCCCUCUCACAUACACCUCUCUUUCUAUCUGCUCUGCAGCUGCACCCAGGACAACAAGGUCACCCCCCCAAGCAGGUAACCUCUCCUUCUCUCUGGGUGUCAUGUCUCCCUGGGGCCAGGCUGUGACCUGCAGCCCGAGGGAAGGGACUCUGUGCUGGGGUGCAAAGACCUGGAUAGGAGGCUCUGGGGUGGGAGUGGGUGGCUUUGGGGAGGGCUGUGAUUCACCCAGCAGUGUGGGAGCUGCCCUGUGACCCUCCCCUGUGCCCCCACUGCCUCCUGCCAUGUGGGGGGGCCAGGACUGGGGCGUCCCUGAGCCCCCACCUCCCCUCAGCCAGGGGCUGCCUUGUCCAUGUCCCCGCCCAUGCAGAUCCCCCUUGGGGCCAUGCAAGGCACAGCAGGAGAGUCUGGGUGCCUGUCAUCAUCUGCAUCAUCCUGGGGGCCCUGCUCUGCCUGCUCCUGACCCUCCUGGUGGGGCAAGCGCGAAGUGCCAGGGCUCAGCACAGAGGUGGGUGCUUC
ensembl:lncRNA